rnacentral:rRNA from 1 species
GUGGGGAAUAUUGGGCAAUGGGCGCAAGCCUGACCCAGCAACGCCGCGUGAGGGAAGAAGGCUUUCGGGUUGUAAACCUCUGUCCUUGGUGACGAAAAAAAUGACGGUAGCCAAGGAGGAAGCCCCGGCUAACUACGUGCCAGCAGCCGCGGUAAUACGUAGGGGGCGAGCGUUGUCCGGAAUUACUGGGCGUAAAGGGUGCGUAGGUGGCCUUUUAAGUUGGAUGUGAAAUACCCGGGCUUAACUUGGGGGGUGCAUCCAAAACUGGGAGGCUAGAGUGCAGGAGAGGAAAGCGGAAUUCCUAGUGUAGCGGUGAAAUGCGUAGAUAUUAGGAGGAACACCAGUGGCGAAGGCGGCUUUCUGGACUGUAACUGACACUGAGGCACGAAAGCGUGGGGAGCAAACAGGAUUAGAAACCCUUGUAGUCC